GGUUAAGCGACUAAGCGUACACGGUGGAUGCCCUGGCAGUCAGAGGCGAUGAAGGACGUGCUAAUCUGCGAUAAGCGUCGGUAAGGUGAUAUGAACCGUUAUAACCGGCGAUUUCCGAAUGGGGAAACCCAGUGUGUUUCGACACACUAUCAUUAACUGAAUCCAUAGGUUAAUGAGGCGAACCGGGGGAACUGAAACAUCUAAGUACCCCGAGGAAAAGAAAUCAACCGAGAUUCCCCCAGUAGCGGCGAGCGAACGGGGAGCAGCCCAGAGCCUGAAUCAGUGUGUGUGUUAGUGGAAGCGUCUGGAAAGGCGCGCGAUACAGGGUGACAGCCCCGUACACAAAAAUGCACAUAUCAGUGUGUGUGUUAGUGGAAGCGUCUGGAAAGGCGCGCGAUACAGGGUGACAGCCCCGUACACAAAAAUGCACAUGCUGUGAGCUCGAUGAGUAGGGCGGGACACGUGGUAUCCUGUCUGAAUAUGGGGGACCAUCCUCCAAGGCUAAAUACUCCUGACUGACCGAUAGUGAACCAGUACCGUGAGGGAAAGGCGAAAAGAACCCCGGCGAGGGGAGUGAAAAAGAACCUGAAACCGUGUACGUACAAGCAGUGGGAGCCUCUUUUAUGGGGUGACUGCGUACCUUUUGUAUAAUGGGUCAGCGACUUAUAUUCUGUAGCAAGGUUAACCGAAUAGGGGAGCCGAAGGGAAACCGAGUCUUAACUGGGCGUUAAGUUGCAGGGUAUAGACCCGAAACCCGGUGAUCUAGCCAUGGGCAGGUUGAAGGUUGGGUAACACUAACUGGAGGACCGAACCGACUAAUGUUGAAAAAUUAGCGGAUGACUUGUGGCUGGGGGUGAAAGGCCAAUCAAACCGGGAGAUAGCUGGUUCUCCCCGAAAGCUAUUUAGGUAGCGCCUCGUGAAUUCAUCUCCGGGGGUAGAGCACUGUUUCGGCAAGGGGGUCAUCCCGACUUACCAACCCGAUGCAAACUGCGAAUACCGGAGAAUGUUAUCACGGGAGACACACGGCGGGUGCUAACGUCCGUCGUGAAGAGGGAAACAACCCAGACCGCCAGCUAAGGUCCCAAAGUCAUGGUUAAGUGGGAAACGAUGUGGGAAGGCCCAGACAGCCAGGAUGUUGGCUUAGAAGCAGCCAUCAUUUAAAGAAAGCGUAAUAGCUCACUGGUCGAGUCGGCCUGCGCGGAAGAUGUAACGGGGCUAAACCAUGCACCGAAGCUGCGGCAGCGACGCUUAUGCGUUGUUGGGUAGGGGAGCGUUCUGUAAGCCUGCGAAGGUGUGCUGUGAGGCAUGCUGGAGGUAUCAGAAGUGCGAAUGCUGACAUAAGUAACGAUAAAGCGGGUGAAAAGCCCGCUCGCCGGAAGACCAAGGGUUCCUGUCCAACGUUAAUCGGGGCAGGGUGAGUCGACCCCUAAGGCGAGGAAAGCCCGCUCGCCGGAAGACCAAGGGUUCCUGUCCAACGUUAAUCGGGGCAGGGUGAGUCGACCCCUAAGGCGAGGCGAAAGGCGUAGUCGAUGGGAAACAGGUUAAUAUUCCUGUACUUGGUGUUACUGCGAAGGGGGGACGGAGAAGGCUAUGUUGGCCGGGCGACGGUUGUCCCGGUUUAAGCGUGUAGGCUGGUUUUCCAGGCAAAUCCGGAAAACUAAGGCUGAGGCGUGAUGACGAGGCACUACGGUGCUGAAGCAACAAAUGCCCUGCUUCCAGGAAAAGCCUCUAAGCAUCAGGUAACAUCAAAUCGUACCCCAAACCGACACAGGUGGUCAGGUAGAGAAUACCAAGGCGCUUGAGAGAACUCGGGUGAAGGAACUAGGCAAAAUGGUGCCGUAACUUCGGGAGAAGGCACGCUGAUAUGUAGGUGAAGUCCCUCGCGGAUGGAGCUGAAAUCAGUCGAAGAUACCAGCUGGCUGCAACUGUUUAUUAAAAACACAGCACUGUGCAAACACGAAAGUGGACGUAUACGGUGUGACGCCUGCCCGGUGCCGGAAGGUUAAUUGAUGGGGUUAGCGGUAACGCGAAGCUCUUGAUCGAAGCCCCGGUAAACGGCGGCCGUAACUAUAACGGUCCUAAGGUAGCGAAAUUCCUUGUCGGGUAAGUUCCGACCUGCACGAAUGGCGUAAUGAUGGCCAGGCUGUCUCCACCCGAGACUCAGUGAAAUUGAACUCGCUGUGAAGAUGCAGUGUACCCGCGGCAAGACGGAAAGACCCCGUGAACCUUUACUAUAGCUUGACACUGAACAUUGAGCCUUGAUGUGUAGGAUAGGUGGGAGGCUUAGAAGUGUGGACGCCAGUCUGCAUGGAGCCGACCUUGAAAUACCACCCUUUAAUGUUUGAUGUUCUAACGUUGACCCGUAAUCCGGGUUGCGGACAGUGUCUGGUGGGUAGUUUGACUGGGGCGGUCUCCUCCUAAAGAGUAACGGAGGAGCACGAAGGUUGGCUAAUCCUGGUCGGACAUCAGGAGGUUAGUGCAAUGGCAUAAGCCAGCUUGACUGCGAGCGUGACGGCGCGAGCAGGUGCGAAAGCAGGUCAUAGUGAUCCGGUGGUUCUGAAUGGAAGGGCCAUCGCUCAACGGAUAAAAGGUACUCCGGGGAUAACAGGCUGAUACCGCCCAAGAGUUCAUAUCGACGGCGGUGUUUGGCACCUCGAUGUCGGCUCAUCACAUCCUGGGGCUGAAGUAGGUCCCAAGGGUAUGGCUGUUCGCCAUUUAAAGUGGUACGCGAGCUGGGUUUAGAACGUCGUGAGACAGUUCGGUCCCUAUCUGCCGUGGGCGCUGGAGAACUGAGGGGGGCUGCUCCUAGUACGAGAGGACCGGAGUGGACGCAUCACUGGUGUUCGGGUUGUCAUGCCAAUGGCACUGCCCGGUAGCUAAAUGCGGAAGAGAUAAGUGCUGAAAGCAUCUAAGCACGAAACUUGCCCCGAGAUGAGUUCUCCCUGACUCCUUGAGAGUCCUGAAGGAACGUUGAAGACGACGACGUUGAUAGGCCGGGUGUGUAAGCGCAGCGAUGCGUUGAGCUAACCGGUACUAAUGAACCGUGAGGCUUAACCUU
rnacentral:rRNA from 1 species